UGUCGUCAGCUCGUGUUGUGAAAUGUUGGGUUAAGUCCCGCAACGAGCGCAACCCUUAUCCUUUGUUGCCAGCGGUCCGGCCGGGAACUCAAAGGAGACUGCCAGUGAUAAACUGGAGGAAGGUGGGGAUGACGUCAAGUCAUCAUGGCCCUUACGACCAGGGCUACACACGUGCUACAAUGGCGCAUACAAAGAGAAGCGACCUCGCGAGAGCAAGCGGACCUCAUAAAGUGCGUCGUAGUCCGGAUUGGAGUCUGCAACUCGACUCCAUGAAGUCGGAAUCGCUAGUAAUCGUGGAUCAGAAUGCCACGGUGAAUACGUUCCCGGGCC
rnacentral:rRNA from 1 species